CUUGCCAUAAAUUGCACGACUCUGCCAUGUUCCGGGUUUAGUUCACAUUUAACUUUGCCAGCUAAAAGUUCUAUAAAAAAUAAUUUUCAAAAUGAAGCUCCUAAUUUUUGUGGCCCUAAUUGCUGCUCUUGUGGCCACUUCCUUGGCUAUAAGAAACGACCGCUGCAGUUUUCCACAUCCUGCUGAUGUUAAUAAAAAACCACGCACGUCCUGUCUGGCUGCUUCUCAUAAUUAAAAAUAUGACUCGUCGGCUAAUAAGUUCAUCAUGUUCGAAUUUGGAGGCUGCGGGGGCGAUGCAAAUCGUUUUGAUUCAAAAGAGAGUUGCGAAGAAAUAUGCCUGGAAUGAAGCCAAUGUUGAAAUCGAAAGAUGAUGAAUGAACUGCUUAAUUAUAGCAACUAAAUCAAAUUAUUGUAUAAAUACAAAUAUACAUUCAGUUGCAAAAUCCCA